rnacentral:rRNA from 1 species
AAGCCUAGCGAUAUGUAAGUUAGUGGCGGACGGGUGAGUAACGCGUGAGGAACCUGCCUUUCAGAGGGGGACAACAGUUGGAAACGACUGCUAAUACCGCAUAACAUGUUCGGACGGCAUCGUUUGAACAUCAAAGGAGCAAUCCGCUGAAAGAUGGGCUCGCGUCUGAUUAGAUAGUUGGUGAGGUAACGGCCCACCAAGUCGACGAUCAGUAGCCGGACUGAGAGGUUGAUCGGCCACAUUGGGACUGAGACACGGUCCAAACUCC